GGUUGCUUCAGUGAACAUUCAACGCUGUCGGUGAGUUUGGAAUUCAAAUAAAAACCAUCGACCGUUGAUUGUACCCUGUAGCUAACC
rnacentral:pre_miRNA from 1 species